rnacentral:rRNA from 1 species
GACGAACGCUGGCGGCGUGCUUAACACAUGCAAGUCGAACGGAAAGAGGGAAAGAGCUUGCUCUUUCCGGAAUUGAGUGGCAAACGGGUGAGUAACACGUAAACAACCUGCCUUCAGGAUGGGGACAACAGACGGAAACGACUGCUAAUACCGAAUAAGUUCCAAGGGCCGCAUGGCCCAUGGAAGAAAAGGUGGCCUCUACCUGUAAGCUAUCGCCUGAAGAGGGGUUUGCGUCUGAUUAGCUGGUUGGAGGGGUAACGGCCCACCAAGGCGACGAUCAGUAGCCGGUCUGAGAGGAGGAACGGCCACACUGGAAUUGAGACACGGUCCAGACUCCUACGGGAGGCAGCAGUGGGGAAUCUUCCGCAAUGGGCGAAAGCCUGACGGAGCAACGCCGCGGGAGGGAUGACGGCCUUCGGGUUGUAAAACUCUGUGAUCCGGGACGAAAAGGCAGAGUGCGAAGAACAAACUGCAUUGACGGUACCGGAAAAGCAAGCCACGGCUAACUACGUG